rnacentral:ncRNA from 1 species
AGUGCCUUAAGUAAAAAGGAUAAUAGGGAAGUUAGGUGAGAAACCUACGCAGCCCCGCUACUGUAAAUGGGAUGAAAUAGCAUUUGGCAUUGUUUCUUGAAAUAAAGGAAUGAGAAGCCGCUAGAGUAAAAUGAUCAUGAGCCAGGAUACCUGCUUUUAC